CCUACGGGGGGCAGCAGUGGGGAAUAUUGCACAAUGGGGGAAACCCUGAUGCAGCGACGCCGCGUGAGUGAAGAAGUAAUUCGUUAUGUAAAGCUCUAUCAGCAGGGAAGAAAAUGACGGUACCUGAGUAAGAAGCCCCGGCUAACUACGUGCCAGCAGCCGCGGUAAUACGUAGGGGGCAAGCGUUAUCCGGAUUUACUGGGUGGAAAGGGAGCGUAGACGGCAGUGCAAGUCUGGAGUGAAAGGCGGGGGCUCAACCCCCGGACCGAUCUGGAAACUGUACGGCUGGAGUGCAGGAGAGGUAAGUGGAAUUCCUAGUGUAGCGGUGAAAUGCGUAGAUAUUAGGAGGAACACCAGGGGCGAAGGCGGCUUACUGGACUGUAACUGACGUUGAGGCUCGAAAGCGUGGGGAGCAAACAGGAUUAGAUACCCGGGUAGUC
rnacentral:rRNA from 1 species